rnacentral:lncRNA from 1 species
GAGUAGAAGAAGCGAAAAAGAACUGGUUCUUCCAUCCACAAAUGGACGAUAGAAGAUCAGUAAUGAAAGAAAGACCUUUUCGAGGAUUGAAGAACCACCAUCCUUGGGCUUUUAGAUGAGGUCGAAGGACAAAGAAAGCAUGAAAAAGAAAAGGACAAGGUUCAGUAGGCAACAACCGGUACAAUAAGGCAAAAUUAAUUAUCA